CGCCGGCUGGAAGGAAGCCCUUCCAGUCGACGAGGUACAAGUACCUCGCCGGCUGGAAGGAAGCCCUUCCGGUCGACGAGGUACAAGUACCUCGCCGGCUGGAAGGGUCUCCUUCCAGCCGGCC
rnacentral:miRNA from 1 species